rnacentral:lncRNA from 1 species
CCUAAAAUGCGAGUUGCUUCAGCUGAUACCGAUCCGGACGCAAAGGCCCUGACCGCCGCUCGUGAGUCUGUGUAGAUCUGUUGCUUAGAAUCGUCAAGAAGAGCGAGGGCGAUAGCUACCUGCUCAGCCUUAGCGGGAGUGGCGUUCGUGGUAGACUG